rnacentral:misc_RNA from 1 species
AACGCACAUUGCGCCCGCCAGCAUUCUGGCGGGCAUGCCUGUUCGAGCGUCAUCUCAACCCUCGCGCCCAAUUGCGGGCAGCGGUGUUGGGGACCGGCACCCGAAGGAAACCCCCCCGGGGGCCCUCCGAGCCGCCCCCUAAAUACAGUGGCGGUCUCGCUGCAGCCUCCCUUGCGUAGUAGCACACCUCGCACCGGAGCGCAGCGCGGCCACGCCGUAAAACCCCCGACUUUCAUGAGUUUGACCUCGGAUCAGGUAGGAAUACCCGCUGAACUUAA